UUACGGCCACAUCACGUUGAAACACAGUUUCUUGGACGAUCACUGAAGUUAAGCAACGUCGAGCCUGGUGAGUAUUUAGAUGGGUGACCACUUGGGAAUACCAGGUGCUGUAA